UACGGAGGAUCCAAGCGUUAUCCGGAUUUAUUGGGUUUAAAGGGUGCGUAGGCGGCCUGUUAAGUCAGGGGUGAAAGACGGUGGCUCAACCAUCGCAGUGCCUUUGAUACUGACGGGCUUGAAUGAACUAGAGGUAGGCGGAAUGUGACAAGUAGCGGUGAAAUGCAUAGAUAUGUCACAGAACACCAAUUGCGAAGGCAGCUUACUAUGGUUUUAUUGACACUGAGGCACGAAAGCGUGGGGAGCGAACAGG
rnacentral:rRNA from 1 species